CAAUCUGGCAACCAGUGACGUACACAGGUAAACAACCACAGGAUUAAAGCAAACUUUCGUGAGGUGUGAGGAGUUCAGAGAGAAGAGCUUAAGGGAAACAAGGGACAGAAAUCAAGAUCAAAGUUGUUGGCAGUCUUUCAGACAUCACUGACCUGUCCAGACAAGAAGACAAACAUUGAGACGAGCAGGAAACAACAUGGAGAAAGGAGAAAACCGGCUGCAGCAGCUUCAGGGGGAUGUGGAGGACACAAAGGUCAUCAUGGUAGACACUUAUAACAAGGCCAUAGAUCGCCGCAUCAAUCUAGAGGAGCUGGAGGAGAGAGCUGAAGUGCUGCUUGAGAGUAGCAGACGGUUUCAUAUGACAUCAAUGAAAGUGAGAGAGAAGGUAGAAAGUGAGAACUCAAGGAUGUGUAAGAACCAGAAGAUGAUCGCAAUCGGCAUUGGAGCUGGUCUGGUCAUCAUCCUCCUCAUCAUCAUCAUUAGUUCAUCAUGGCCAUAAUAGUAAUGGAGAGAACAGAGACUCGGGUUAAAAAGCCAAUCAGCUAUAAACAUCCUUUCCAUCAGAAACCUCUGUUUCUCUCUCUAUCUCUCUCUCUCUCUCUCUCUCGAAAUAAAUGACAAAACAAUAACACAGCUUUCCAAGAAAUCCACAAGUGUAUAAACUCCUCUGUCCUGAAAAAGGGAAUCCUAUAGGAACAGUGUUAGCUCUUCAUUACCUUCUCAGUCCUGACUCCCAGGGGAAGAUACAGAAGGAGAAGAUAUUUAUAGAGAUCUUCCAGUGGAUAAAGAAAAGCAGAAUAACUAUAUGGAGGUCAUUAAUCAGGUCAGUGCUGCCCCUGCAGGUCAAUCACAGGUCUUCAAUCGUCAGUCUCUACAUUUACAGACAGUUCUGCACUACUGAAUGUUUGAAUCAGCUCAGGACACUUCCACAGGUGAAGCAGGGUUUUAUACCAUGACAGAACACACUAUAGUGAGGGCAGGGAUCUGAGGGUCAGCAGCUGGGAGAUGAACCAGUUACUGCCCCACCACCAGGAGGUUCAGGGAUUAUUUCCUGAGGGUUUUAUGACCCUGCAGCUGGAUCACUGACAUGGUGCAAAGUGCAACUGGUAGUUAGAUCCAGCAGUUUACUCACAUAACCACACAUUGCCUCGCAAAUAGCAUCGUUCAUCUACUCUCUCUCUCUCUCUCUCUCUCUCUCUCCCUUUCCUUCUUUCUUUCUCUCUCUUUCUCUCUCUCUCUCGGUCUCUCUCUCUCUCUCUCUCUCUAUCUGUGAAUUAAUCCAGAAAGGUUAUUAGAAAGGUGCUUUUUAAUCUGAAAAAAGUUGUUUUGUUUUUUCAAUGACAUAUUUUAUAUGUAUCUCUUUUUUUAUACUGACCCAGUAAUAAGGAAGACAUAAAGUUACCAUCUAAGACAAGGUAAUAUAAAGAAUGUUUGUAUAGUACUGUAGAUUUAAAAAAAAAAAUGCCGUAAAAGAACACUUUUUUAAGUCGAUUUUAAUUGUACAGGAUUGUCCUGUAAAUAUUGAGGAAAAUGCAGUGUAUCGUUUUAAACAUUCUGCAUAUCAGUGCAGUAUUUUUUUUUCCGUUUCCUUUAUUUCCAGCUGCUAGCUCUUGGAGUUGAACUUUAUAAAACCCAUAAAUCCAUCGUAUGGAUUAACAGAGUUAAAUCCGGUUUGCUGCUGCUGUCAAUCUGGCAACCACUGAUGUACACAGGUGCCAAACCAAACCACAGGUUUAAAAAAAAAAGAAAGAAAGAAAGCAAAAACCCACACACACACACACACACACACAUUUCCGUUAAAUAACAAGCUGUUAGCUGUGAGACAUUUAGAGAGAAGAGAAACAAGAGACGGAAAUCAAGAUUAAAGCUGCUGGCAGUCUUUCAGCCAUCGUUUACAAGAACCUGUCCAGAGAAGAACACAAAGAACUGAAGAGAUAAGCAAGAAACAACAUGAAGAAAGGAGAAAGCCGGCUGCAGCAGCUUCAGGGGGAUGUGGAGGAGACAAAGGACAUCAUGGUGGAGACUUAUAACAAGGCCAUAGAACGCGACACCAAACUAGAGGACUUGGACGAGAGAGCUGUUGCGCUGAAAGAGAAAGGCAAACAGUUUGAAAAGAAAACAAGGAACCUGAGAGUUAAGGAAGAAGGUGAGAACUCACGGAUGUUGUGUAGGAACCGAAAAGUGAUCCUGAUCAUUGUUACAAUUUUUCUGGUUCUCCUCAUCAUCAUCAUCAUCGUUGCAGUGUAUUAUGGCCGCGGUAGUAAUGGAGAGAACAGAGACUCGGGUUAAAAAGACAAGCCUUCACUUUUAUACUUUUAUGCUUAAAGAUUUAAUGUGUCAUAGUUUUGUGUAAUUGUGUGCGUAUCUGCUGAGGUGAACUAGACCAACUUUUGUGUGUUUGUUUUGUCUGAAUUUGGGAUAUUUAAUACUUACAGGAUACAGUAAUGUGGAUGAACUGACUGUAUACUGUACAUGCAUCAUGUCUGCUCUUGUACCGU